UUUAUCUGCAGCUUUUCAAUUCUUUAAUUUUAUGGACAAAAUUUUGUUUUAAGCAUCAUUCUCAAGUUCUAAUUGGUUUAUUUUAGUGUAUUUUGUUACGUUUGGAGUCAUGCACCUCAAUAGUGACUUAGAAAAAUGUACAGAAACAACAAAAGAAACAACAGACAAGUCUUCGGAAUUAUUUCCAGUGAUUGGUAAAGUCAAGAAAGGCAUAGGCUGAAGACUUCAAGCUCCCUUACCAAAAUGGUUCCAAGACUGUUAUCCAUUUUCAAAAACGCUAUUGAUUACCAAGUGGAUUGCCUGAAUCACCUCUUGGAGGAGAAAGUGUUAGAUAUUUGUAAAAAAAAGCAUUCAAAACUUCUUUCCUGUACAAAGAGCUGCUAUUCCAGUAAUCAUUGAUGUUUUGAGCUGUAACAACUUUCAUAGAGGUCGAGAUGUUUGUGUUUCUUCACCUACGGGUUCUGGAAAAACGUUGUCUUUUGUAAUUCCAAUUGUUCAAACUCUGAUUAAUCGUGUUGAAGUAAAGUUGAGAGCAAUAAUAAUUUUGCCUGUUCGUGAUUUAGCUCAACAAGUAUACAAAGUUCUUGAAGAUUUUGCCAAACCUUGUGGACUGAAAGCAACUUUAUCCGUAGGUCAUCGUUCGUUUCAAGAAGAUUUGAAUUGCAUCAUCAAAGAAGUUUCUCCGGGAAAAUAUAGAUGGUUAAUUGAUGUCUUAGUCACUACACCAAGUCGUCUCAUUGACUUGAUUCAUAAUUGUGCUGGUUUCGAUUUAUCUUCAUUGCAAAUACUCGUACUUGAUGAAGUGGACCGCCUGCUGGACUUUGAUAUCGAGUAUAAUUUGGUUCAAGAAGUUGAUGAAGCUGUUCAUGGUGCUAAAGGCCGUGUUCCAUGUCUUUGUUGUAGUACUGAAACAUUAGAUUCAUCAAAGGGUAUUAGAGGAUGCACAUGCCUUGUAUCUGGAUGUUCCUUUCAAAUUACUCACCAUCAUGGCAUAUUAAUUUUGCCUGUUCGUGAUUUAGCUCAACAAGUAUAAAAAGCUCUCGAAGAUUUUGUCAGCAACUAAAAGCAACUUUAUCCGAAGAAGAUUUGAGUUGUAUGAUCAAAGAAGUUUCACCGGGAAAAUAUAGAUGGUUAGUCACUACACCAAGUCGUCUCAUUGACUUGAUUCAUAAUUGUGCUUGAGUUUCCGUUUGUCAAAUGAUUGUUAUAUUAUUUAUUUUGUAUCUUUAUGUGAUUAACUUUUCUUAAGAUUUCAUCAUGUUACCUUCCAAUUAUACAUAUGAAGGUCCGAACGGUGUCAAACUAUUGAGAGUGAGAAGUAUAGCUGGCCAUCGACUGAGGGUAACUCAAGAGUUAGCCGAGGAACUUGACAAAGAUUAUGAAACAAAAUUAUCAAAGGAUGCAAAACUGAUUCUACUUGUUGAUCUUGAUCAAACUUUGAUUGAUACAACCAAUGAACCUCCACUCGAUGGCAUGAAAGAUGUUUUUAAAUAUCAACUUAUGGCUUCAGUUUACGCUGGUAAACAAUUCAUUCUUAAAUUCAAUUAUAUUCAGUAUAGAAUAAUGCCAUGCCAUGACCAACAAAGCUCCUGAUCUAUUGUUUGUUGACACAGAUAAAAUGGAAGAGAGAAUUCAAAGAUUUUUUAAACUCGGAUUCGUCAACAACAUUGAUAAGUUUUACGUAUUUCAUGAAGCGCCUCAUGGUUGGUAUCUUCAAGAUUGGAAACAAUUCAUUCUUAAAUUCAAUUAUAUUCAAUAUAGAAUAAUGCCAUGGCUUUUAAAUAAGCAAGAUGAUCAAUAUCCGACUCCACAUCCAUUGAUUAAAGUAUAUUCAGCUCUUGAGCUUCCGUAUGAGCGAAUAAAAUCUCGAUUCCUUUGGGUUUCAUCAGCAGGAAUCUGUCCCCCAAAAUUCAAUGAAAAUGGUGGUGAUAAUCUCAAUCUAGCCGUGAUUCUCAAAAAUCUUCCUCUCAUAAAUUCAAAGCAUUUCUUCAAGACAGCUAUCUACGUAAACGAAUAUGAUUUUUUGGACAAUUCAUUGCUCAUAGCGAGACUGUCGAAGAUUCUAUUAUGAGUGACAUCACUGAUCUACCUUCUAAAGAAGAAAGCUUUUAUUUAGAGGAUCAUGAAGAUGAAAACGUCCGAGAAGCGUAUAAGGCUAGAAAUAAACGAAUUAAAUGAAAUUCAUUGAAUUUUGUUACAAAUUACAUGUAUGGAGUUUCAAUGAAUCUAUCUGGUUAUAUCUUCGUACACAAAUCAACUUCAUAAUGAACAUCGGAUACUGUUUUACAAAAUCUGAUUACAAUAUAUCUAUUUACCUAAAUUACUCAAUUACCCAAAUAAAGUA